rfam:Mycobacterium sp. VKM Ac-1817D, complete genome.
GGCGGUCUUCGGUAGUGGCUGUCGGAACCCGACGCAGGGACUUUCUCUGGGGGCCAUCCGGCCGCUUCGAUCGACGGCCGUA